rnacentral:pre_miRNA from 1 species
AGGAGGAACAGCCCCAGUGGUGGGGCAGUUCUGGAAACCUGGAUUCAGCUCCGGCAGGAACUCCGUCUGCAGGGCCUGGAGGCUCCGGGGCGGG